rnacentral:misc_RNA from 1 species
UAGGUUUUUCUGAGUAUGGAGGAUUGGGCUUUACCUAAAGAUGAUAUUCAAUCGGAGAUUAAAAAUGCUAAAAGUGCUCCUGGUGUCGUGCCAUCCAGCAUCCCCUCAUGUAGAUCGGCCUCCACAUCAUUGUUAGACGGUGGCUUUUGUGCGAGCUCAGCUGAGGAUGCUGUGAGGUCUCGACUCUAGAGAAGGGCUUGUGUUGCUUUCUCAAGCGACAAAGGGGUGACGAUCCAGCUAUUAGAGUGUUCUUCUCUGGGUGUUUGAGCCGAUGUCGUGCUCUUGUUGCUGGUUAUGUCCAGGCUAUGGUGGUUCGUUUUUGCCCAACCGUCUGCGGCGGCCGGUGGUCGGCUUGCGCUGUACAUGUGGUUUCUCAGCAUGCCUUGGUCGUGUACGGAGGCUGAGCUUAGGGGUG